rnacentral:rRNA from 1 species
GACGAACGCUGGCGGCGUGCCUAAUACAUGCAAGUAGAACGCUGAAGAGAGGAGCUUGCUCUUCUUGGAUGAGUUGCGAACGGGUGAGUAACGCGUAGGUAACCUGCCUGGUAGCGGGGGAUAACUAUUGGAAACGAUAGCUAAUACCGCAUAAAAUGGAUUAUCGCAUGAUAAUCCAUUGAAAGGUGCAAAUGCAUCACUACCAGAUGGACCUGCGUUGUAUUAGCUAGUUGGUGGGGUAACGGCUCACCAAGGCGACGAUACAUAGCCGACCUGAGAGGGUGAUCGGCCACACUGGGACUGAGACACGGCCCAGACUCCUACGGGAGGCAGCAGUAGGGAAUCUUCGGCAAUGGACGGAAGUCUGACCGAGCAACGCCGCGUGAGUGAAGAAGGUUGUCGGAUCGUAAAGCUCUGUUGUAAGAGAAGAACGAGUGUGAGAGUGGAAAGUUCACACUGUGACGGUAGCUUACCAGAAAGGGACGGCUAACUACGUG